rnacentral:rRNA from 1 species
UAGGGAAUCUUCCACAAUGGGCGAAAGCCUGAUGGAGCAACGCCGCGUGUGUGAUGAAGGCUUUCGGGUCGUAAAGCACUGUUGUAUGGGAAGAACAGCUAGAAUAGGAAAUGAUUUUAGUUUGACGGUACCAUACCAGAAAGGGACGGCUAAAUACGUGCCCGA